UACGUAGGUGGCGAGCGUUAUCCGGAUUUACUGGGUGUAAAGGGCGCGUAGGCGGGGAUGCAAGUCAGAUGUGAAUUCUAUGGGCUUAACUCAUAAACUGCAUUUGAAACUGUAUUUCUUGAGUGCUGGAGAGGUAGAUGGAAUUCCUUGUGUAGCGGUGAAAUGCGUAGAUAUAAGGAAGAACACCAGUGGCGAAGGCGAUCUACUUGACAGUAACUGACGCUGAGGCGCAAAAGCGUGGGGAUCGAAC
rnacentral:rRNA from 1 species